rnacentral:lncRNA from 1 species
CAUUUCAUCCUUUACCUCACAUAUAAAAUCAUAAUAAAAAUACCUCAGUAGCACUUAACUAGAUAAAAACUAACUAAAUAACAGAAAAUAAAAUAGUAACAAUAAAAAAACUAAAAAUAGAAAUUAAAAUUAAAAUAAAAAACUAAAAAUAGAAACUAAAAAUUAAAAGUAGAAAAUUAAAACUAUAGUAAAAUUAAAAUAAUAUAAAAAUUUCAAGUACAAUUUAAUUUCUUUGUUG